rnacentral:rRNA from 1 species
GACGAACGCUGGCGGCGUGCUUAACACAUGCAAGUCGAACGGUAAGGCCCCUUCGGGGGUACACGAGUGGCGAACGGGUGAGUAACACGUGAGCAACCUGCCCCAGACAUCGGGAUAACAAGUGGAAACACUUGCUAAUACCGGAUACGACCUCAGCGGACAUCUUCAUGAGGUGGAAAGCUCCGACGGUCUGGGAUGGGCUCGCGGCCUAUCAGCUUGUUGGUGAGGUAACUGCUCACCAAGGCUUCGACGGGUGGCCGGCCUGAGAGGUCGACCGGCCACACUGGGACUGAGAUACGGCGCAGACUCCUACGGGAGGCAGCAGUGGGGAAUAUUGCACAAUGGGCGCAAGGCUGAUGCAGCAACGCCGCGUGUGGGAUGACGGCCUCCGGGUUGUAAACCACUUUCAGCUCUGACGAAGCGCAAGUGACGGUAGGAGCAGAAGAAGCACCGGCCAACUACGUGCCAGCCGCCGCCUAACAC